ACCUGGCUGGCUCAGUCGGUGGAGCACUUGACUCUUGAUCUUGAGGUUGUGAGUUUGAGCCCCACAUUGGGUG
rnacentral:tRNA from 1 species